rnacentral:rRNA from 1 species
GACGAACGCUGGCGGCGUGCUUAACACAUGCAAGUCGAGCGGUAAGGCCCUUUCGGGGGUACACGAGCGGCGAACGGGUGAGUAAUACGUGGGUGACCUGCCCUCAGCUCUGGGAGUAAGCCUGGGAAACCGGGUCUAAUACCGGAUAUGACUCCAUGACGCAUGUUGUGGGGUGGAAAGCCUUGUGCGGCUGAGGAUGGGCCCGCGGCCUAUCAGCUUGUUGGUGGGGUGAUGGCCUACCAAGGCGACGACGGGUAGCCGGCCUGAGAGGGCGACCGGCCACACUGGGACU